AUGGAAGUGGCUUGGGUCAAUAGUCCCAGCAGAGCUGAGCCUUCAAGUCUUCCUAGCCCAGGCACCAGAGAUGGGAGAGAGGAACUCUCCAGUCUCCUGUCUUGUCUGCCCAGGGAGAAAAAGUAAACAUAGACAGGUCGUCAGCCAGGGUUCAUCGGGAGGCUGCGGUUUUCCCAGCUGUGGAGUGGCCACCUCCUCCCAGCCUCCCUGAGUCAGCCAUGGACUCCAGCGGGGACACACUGUGGGAAACGUCGUGGGAAAACAGCAAACCCAGGGAGCGAAAGAAAAUAAAGACCAGCAGUGACCCCUCCACUCAGAGAGACCUGUGGACACCAUUUGCGGCGUUUAUCCAGCAGUUUUUUCUUUCUACCGGUGUGUGCAUGUAUGCAUGCCUUUGUGUACAUAGACUUGUGUAUUACAGCGUUGUGCAACAUGGAUAUUCAUUUGACGAUACUGUGAAUGUUUU
rnacentral:lncRNA from 1 species